UAUGGCCAUGUCACAUUGAAACACUAGUUCCCAUAUGAACACUGAAGCUAAGCAAUGUUAAGCUUGGUCAGUAUUUUGAUGGGUAACCACUUGGGAAUAUCAGUUGCUGUAAG